ensembl:snRNA U6 U6 spliceosomal RNA
GCUGUGCUUGCCUCAGCAGCAUAUACCAAAACUGGAACGGUACAGAGAAGAUUAACAUGGCCCAUAUGCAAGGAUGACAUGCAAAUUCAAGAAGUGUUCCAUAUUUUU